rnacentral:rRNA from 1 species
CUUGGUCAUUUAGAGGAAGUAAAAGUCGUAACAAGGUUUCCGUAGGUGAACCUGCGGAAGGAUCAUUAUUGAAAACCACUUGCAAGGCUGUUGCUGGCUUUCCUUUGGAUCGCAUGUGCACGCUGAGCACUUGAUUUUAUCCUUUUGUGAACCUGUGUAGGCGAAAACAGACUCGAAUCAUAUCACUGAAAACGUGGAUGGGAGUUUGCUCUUUCAGAGCUUUCUCUGUGCUUAGAGUCUCUUUCGUUUACGUCUCUUAUAAACUUUAAAUCUUGAUAUAAAUCUUGUUAUUCGGUCUUUGUACCAGUAACUUAAUUAAUACAACUAUUGGCAACGGAUCUCUUGGCUCACGCAUCGAUGAAGAACGCAGCGAAAUGCGAUAAGUAAUGUGAAUUGCAGAUUUCAGUGAAUCAUCGAAUCUUUGAACGCACCUUGCACCUUUUGGUUAUUCCGAAAGGUAUGCCUGUUUGAGUGUCAUUAUAUUCUCACAUCAAACUCAAUUUGUUUUGAGCUUUGAAAGUGGAUGUGGAGGUUGCGGGACUCGUAAGAGAUCGGCUCCUCUGAAAUACAUUAGUUAACUGAACCGUGGUUCAAGUGCUUCGGACGUGAUAAUUGUCAUCGUUUGUAUAAUGCCUUGGAUGUUAAAUCKAAGUUAGCUUCUAACUGUCUCUUAACUGAGACUACUCUUCRGAGUACUGUAAUGACUAUUGUGACCUCAAAUCGGUAGGGCUACCCGCUGAACUUAAGCAUAUCAAUAAGCGGAGAA